rnacentral:lncRNA from 1 species
AUACAUUUUUGUCGAGCCUUCGACUUUAGUCGAAAAAGCGAGACAUAGCGAUCCUACAUUCCGUCGGCGUCGGCGUCGUCGUCGUCGUCGGCGGCGGCGUCCACAAAUAUUCACUCUGUGGUUAAAGUUUUUGAAAUUUUAAUAACUUUCUUAAACUAUCCUGGAAAUGUACAAAACUUGGCCAGAAGCUUGUUUAUGAUCAGGAG